rnacentral:rRNA from 1 species
GAUGAACGCUGGCGGCGUGCUUAACACAUGCAAGUCGAACGAAGCACUUUAUUUGAUUUCCUUCGGGACUGAUUAUUUUGUGACUGAGUGGCGGACGGGUGAGUAACGCGUGGGUAACCUGCCUUGUACAGGGGGAUAACAGUUGGAAACGGCUGCUAAUACCGCAUAAGCGCACGGCAUCGCAUGAUGCAGUGUGAAAAACUCCGGUGGUAUAAGAUGGACCCGCGUUGGAUUAGCUAGUUGGUGAGGUAACGGCCCACCAAGGCGACGAUCCAUAGCCGACCUGAGAGGGUGACCGGCCACAUUAGGACUGAGACACGGCCCAAACUCCUACGGGAGGCAGCAGUGGGGAAUAUUGCACAAUGGGCGAAAGCCUGAUGCAGCGACGCCGCGUGAGCGAAGAAGUAUUUCGGUAUGUAAAGCUCUAUCAGCAGGGAAGAUAAUGACGGUACCUGACGAAGAAGCACCGGCUAAAUACGUG